rnacentral:rRNA from 1 species
UACAGAGGGUGCAAGCGUUGUUCGGAUUCAUUGGGCGUAAAGGGUGCGUAGGCGGCGCGGUAAGUCGGGUGUGAAAUCUCGGAGCUUAACUCCGAAACUGCAUUCGAUACUACCGUGCUUGAGGACUGGAGAGGAGAAUGGAAUUCCUGGUGUAGCGGUGAAAUGCGCAGAUAUCAGGAAGAACACCCGUGGCGAAGGCGGUUCUCUGGGACGGUACUGACGCUGAGACGCGAAAGCGUGGGGAGCGAACAGG